rnacentral:rRNA from 1 species
UGGCCGGCGUGCCUAAUACAUGCAAGUCGAACGGUCUUUUCUAUGGAAGCUUGCUUCCACUGAAAAGAUAGUGGACGGAACGGGUGAGUAACGACGUGGGUAACCUGCCCAUAAGAGGGGGAUAACAUCCGGAAACGGGUGCUAAUACCGCAUAGUUUUCUUGAUCGCAUGAUCGGGAAAGGAAAGACGGCCUUUGUGCUGUCGCUUAUGGAUGGACCCGCGGCGUAUUAGUUAGUUGGUGAGGUAACGGCUCACCAAGACGAUGAUACGUAGCCGACCUGAGAGGGUGAUCGGCCACAUUGGGACUGAGACACGGCCCAAACUCCUACGGGAGGCAGCAGUAGGGAAUCUUCCGCAAUGGACGAAAGUCUGACGGAGCAACGCCGCGUGAGUGAAGAAAAGGUUUUCGGAUCGUAAAACUCUGUUGUCAGAGAAGAACAAGUUGGAGAGUAACUGCUCCAGCCUUGACGGUAUCUGACCAGAAAGCCACGGCUAACCACGUGCCAGCAGCCGC